GCUCCGGCUGCGGUUUNNNNNNNNNNNNNNNNNNNNCAACGGCAGGCCCGUGGCCCCGCUGCCUCCUCAGCCAUCACUAGGGCAAGCAAGCUCGCCUCUGCCCCUUUAAGCUCCGGCUGCGGUUUUUUUUUUUUUUUUUUUUUCGUGGAGCGCCUAUUUUUAGCUCAUCCUCUUGGUAGCAUCCAGCUCUGCCCCCUGUUUCUCCGCUCUCCCCCCCGGUGCUCAUCCUCCCCCCUCCCCUCCCUCGGUGGUAGGUUCCGCGCGGCAGACGGCGGCUCGGGCACUGAGCAUGUCCGAACGCGCUCGGCAGCAGCGGCCGCCGCGCCGGGGCUCGCGGGGCGGGAAGGAGGGCGCGCGCCGGGGGGCCGCGUGAGGGCUGGCGCGUGCAGCAGCAGCAGCAACAGCAGCAGCAGCCGCCGCCGCCUUGCAAGUCCACCCAAUGUCAUAUAACACUUAAGUCACUGACAAAUGACAGGCUCCAGUCUGGGUCUGCACCUUGAGUAAACUUUACCAUAAUCCCACUAAAAUUUCAAGUUUGUGAAUUCCCCCAAAGUCUUUCAGGAGCCGACAUAUUUUUUUCAUGCUUUAUGGACUCCUCCAUCUUCCCAAAGUCUUGAUGUUGGGAGGGUUUCACCACUGCAAAGGUGGCAUGCAGGAUGUCAUAUCCUGGCAUAUUGCUUCGUGAAACCAGUGGACUGAUACCCUGCAAAUAGUAGCUGGUGGCUCUGUGUGAAGCUGAAGGUUGUCCCCGCUUACCUGCUGUCUUGGCCACGUGCAUAGAAUCACAGAAUCAUUAAGGUUGGAAAAGACCUCCAAGAUCACCUGGUCCAACCAUCCCCCUACCACCAAUGUCACCCACAAAACCAUGUCUCUAAGUACGAUGUCCAACCUUUCCUUGAACAGCCCCACCUGGCAGCAGCGUCACCCAGCUUCACCAGAAGAGCUGACUGGGACUUUUGGAGUGCAACCACCAAGAAGGCAUUUUGGAUCUUGCUGUCAGGUGCGUCAGUCACUCACUGAAUCUGCCCUUACUCAGUGGGGCUCAGUGGCAGUGCUGCUGUGUAAUUCACACCGAAUAGCAUCUUAGUGCUUUGAAGUGGAUGAAACUACUUGUAAAAGUAAGAACAAAUUAGUGAGUUGUUUCAAAAUCUCAUUCAACAUAGUCUGAGACAGAUGUCAUGAUUAACUGGAAAACAAGCAUGUUGCAGACCACUGCCUUUUUAACAUACCCAUGACGCCGUAGUGUUUCUGCUGGAAAAUUUGCAGUCAGUUCCAAUAUGGCUUUAAAUUCUCUGCUGCUGCCCACUAUUCAUAGGCAACCUUUGGAUCCGAAUGACCCUUUUUCUUUACGAAAUCAUUGGAUGUAAACCUUUUUGUUGUCUUUUAUUUUUCUGUACUCAUCUAGCAGCAGUGACUACCUAACAGUAUAUGUAACAGUAGUGAUUAUCACUGAUUAUAGUUCAGCUUCACCGUCCAUUUUAAAUAAAUUAAAGUAAAACAGAAGGUCA
rnacentral:lncRNA from 1 species